UACGUAGGGUGCAGGCGUUAAUCGGAAUUACUGGGCGUAAAGCGUGCGCAGGCGGUCUUUUAAGUCAGAUGUGAAAUCCCCGGGCUUAACCUGGAAACUGCGUUUGAAACUGGAAGGCUUGAGUGUGGCAGAGGGGGGUGGAAUUCCACGUGUAGCAGUGAAAUGCGUAGAGAUGUGGAGGAACACCGAUGGCGAAGGCAGCCCCCUGGGCUAACACUGACGCUCAUGCACGAAAGCGUGGGGAGCAAACAGG
rnacentral:rRNA from 1 species